ACGGCAGUCGCUGCCCGGACGCGUAGGAGCUGAGGAGAACUGGUGAUAGGGCCUGCCCCACCUAUCUACCAGAGUGAGUAGCAUGGCAGAGGGUGGUCCUCUGGGGGUCCAUGCCCACCGAACAUACACCGGCCGGGUAUGGGUGGAAAUUCUCGGUCAGCUUACGCUCUAGGCAUAAGGGCUGGGCGUGCAGUGACGGGAGCAGCAGGUCACUGGCACAGGCGACAAUCCAUGCUGAGGAGGUGUUCCUGGCAUGUGAAAAACGGAACCAUUUGAGCGUGUAAGGCGGCAAACCCCACCGCAAAUACACUGCUACCGGAGUAUAAAGAGUCGAACACUCCGGCGACUACAGGAGAGAUGAGGCCAGCAGCGGACCCGACCAACAAUUUACUUGCUUCAGGAGGUGACCGCAGCAUCGAUAAGGAAGGUGGGUUGUUUUAUAUCCGAGAUAGGAUGACUCGGUUGACUUGUUUGGCACUGCUCAGGAGUUGCUGGAGCAGCAACCCGACUUACAGCUUAAUGACUUUGGAAGGUAGUCGCAGCAGUCGAUCGGAAAGGUAUGAUUCACAUUCAAGGUUAGAUGGUUAGAUGAUUAAUUGGCUGCUUGUUUUAUUGCACAGGUGUUGCAGAAGCAGCAAACCCGACCAACACCAUAAUUACUUUAGGAAUGGUACUUCAGGAAUUGACCAGUGUCGGAUAAUUGACCACAGUGUCGAUAAGACAGGUGUCUUAGGAAGAUGACUCGGUUGCUUUGCUUCGUUUGCACAGGUGUUGCAGAAGCAGCGAAACCGAUCGACGUUAACUUGUUUCAGAAGAUGACCGCAGCGUCGAUAAGAAAGGUGACUUGGUUGCUGUGCUUCGUUGCACAGAUGUUGCAAAAACAGCAAACCCGACAAACAGUUGAAAUGUGAGUAGACUUCAGGUGACUGCAGAGGGAAAGAUAGUGUUUAAGACGGAAAGUGGUUUUCGUCUCGUUUUAUCUCCAUUCCAUGGCAGGAGGUAGUACGACUCGAAUCCUUGCUUAGCUGCACUUUGCAAGUCAUAGCAAGUGCAAAACUCUUCAGGAGUCCAUCCCGUGGCUCAUCUCCAGAGUAGGAAGAUAGACAUAAAUGCUUCAUGUCCUGCUUCAUCGUGAAUUACUGCGUGGGUCUUGCAGUUGAGAUAACAAGGCAAAGAAAAAUAGUAAUUCGGCCGUCAGCAGUUACCAAGUGAGCUGACUGAAGCCGAAAGGUUUCGAUUUCAGCGCAGGUACGAGGCACGAGACGUCCCGAGGGAAGGUCUUGCCGGUAAAGCUAAACCGAGCAGAACCGCAACGGUAAGGGACAAUGCAAAAUUUACGAAAUAUUGGAUUGAUUUCGUUGUCUCGACUUUCGAGUAACACUUACGUUAAUGUUUUAUAGCAAGAUUCUGGAGUAGCAUCAACUGUGCAAACUGACCACACCUUUUCCUGUGGAACAAUUUAAAUAUGAACCCGAAAGCCUAUGUAGUUAGAACCUGCAAUCCUAUGUGAACUCGUUCAGCACUCAUGUGAAUCAUUUGGCAAUCCCAAAGCUGAACGAAGGGUCAACGUCAUAUUGAAUGGAAGGUGUACCAGUUACUGUGGUUGACUUUCGUUGUAUUGUCUGCAACAGACACCGCGCUGCCGAGUGGAGGUCCUGAUGGAUUUAUCCAACCCUGCAUGGAGCGCCACCGUCUCGUGAGUGACCAGCGACGGUGAUGUCGGGUCACGAACAAAAGUAAGAACAACCCUUGAGAUCAAAAGAUCAAAGCCAACGGGCAUGUGCUCACUUGUUAAAGUCAAGCAGACGAGUUUGCUACAAUCUGCUUCAGCGUAUGCAUGAAGGUCGUGAUAAGGGUCAGUUGGUGCUCGAGGUAUAAGUUGUGGUGAAGCAACAAUCUUGUGCAUUGCCUUGAAACUAGAUCCAGCGACAUGGAUCUGUGCAGACCAAAAGAUGCGCGGGCAUAGAACCGGCAUAGACAAUAGGACAAACUGCUCGUGUGCUGCGAUGCUCGCAUCGUCUGGUCCCUCCCAAUGUCCUCAGGUCAUUGGAGCCAGCAGCAGAGUGCGUCCUACACAGGUAUCUGAGAUACCAAAAGGUCUACAAGCACCACCAAUCUCUCGGCAUGUCAGAUUGACUUCAGCCUCAACACCUCACCCGAGCCCUUAGGACCAACAUCUCGAUGCUGAGUGCUGCCAGAAGUCGGAAACGCAUCCUUCUGUUCUAACGGAGGCAAACGAUCACUUGCCCGUCGGUUGUAACUUAUCUCCUCCAGGUGUGGCGGCCAUAAAGCAGACGGAUGGACCCAUCACGUUAUCACUCGUGAGUUUUUAAAGUCGAAGCCCGUAUUGGGAAUCGUUAACAAGCGUACCCUUUACAUUGCACGAAUGACGACAUGCUCCUUUGUAAAUCGUUUCCGGUAAACCACGAAAUUCCCAUCCCAGAAACAGUCCACAGGUCAGUAGCAAGGAGAUGUGGUUCCCAGAAUAAUAUAAAUGUAAAGGUGCAGUGAUUGCCUUUCUCCAAGAUUUUGUAUCCAGCAGCACUACCACGGUGCAAUGCUAAAGCUGAAGCUAAAGUCGUAUGAUCUUAUCUAUCAAGCUAUUAAGUGAUUAUGUAUUUUGCACUAUUGUCAUAUUUGUCGAAAGGCACAAAACAGUUAAAACAGUUUAAGACGCCGCAUUUGCCAUUGUCUACAAGUCAAACUCGGUUUGACCCAGUCAGACUGUAAGUCUAUUAUUACGUACGUAUACCCGUUCACCCCCUAAGGUUACAGUUCUUCGUUCGCCAUAAAAAUGGGAGGGAUGUGAGAAAUAUCGUUUCCAUCUGCUCUGAGCGGCUAAUCGGCGACACUCAUUAUUUCCAGCGACGGGAAGCGCCCCGUCAGUCGGCCCGGAGGCCAAGGCCGCCCAACCGGCGGCGGCUCGCUCGGCUCCUAUCUCGCUGACCUCCACCGUUCGCCCACACCAAAAACACUCGGCGAGGGUUAGAUCGUGAAAAAUGGGUUGACGACACACCAAGGGCAAACGACUGUCGGAGAGGUAUAAAACGGGCGCCAGACGCAGCAGCGACACACUCACACAGUCCACACCACACUCAACAACAUCCACUCUCCAACACUCCACUCAACAUGCACAACCUGCCCGCCAUCAUGACGCUGACCAGGGAGCCGAUUGGCUCGGCUUGGCGGCAGCAGGCUGUUCUUUCGGCACUCUUCCGGCCUCUACAAUAUCGGCAUACUCGAGUGCGAUAGCAACUCGAGUGGGACUGAUUUUCGGUCUUCUUUCGACACUCUUCCGUCUUCUUCGAUAUCAGCCUGUGCUAAUGCAACGGCUAUUCGUGCAGGACUGAUUUUCGGCCUUGUCUUGUUUAAUGACUCGAUCGCUUCCUUUUGACAUUUUGGUUUCGACCUCAUCUUUUGGCUCAUUUCAAUAUAUCUACUUUUUGUU